rnacentral:rRNA from 1 species
CACGUAGGGCGCAAGCGUUGUCCGGAAUUAUUGGGCGUAAAGAGCUCGUAGGCGGCUUGUCACGUCGGGUGUGAAAGCCCGGGGCUUAACCCCGGGUCUGCAUUCGAUACGGGCUAGCUAGAGUGUGGUAGGGGAGAUCGGAAUUCCUGGUGUAGCGGUGAAAUGCGCAGAUAUCAGGAGGAACACCGAUGGCGAAGGCGGCAUCCUGGACCAACACUGACGCUGAGGAGCGAAAGCCAGGGGAGCAAACGGG